GGGGAGAUAGCGAAGAGGCUAAACGCGGCGGACUGUAAAUCCGUUCCUUACGGUUCGAAGGUUCGAAUCCUUCUCUCCCCA
rnacentral:tRNA from 2 species